rnacentral:lncRNA from 1 species
UUGAAUAUCAAUAAACUCGAGCUGACGCUGAAGGGAUUUAAGUCGGCUGUAGAGGUCGUCUUCAUCGCCAUUGGAAAGGUCCGCAAAGGCUUUCUGGAGGUCGGAUCCCACUGCUGGGAUCGACGGAGGAAGCUCUGGUGCAGAUUUGGGGUCGAGGACCAUUGCCGAUGACGCCAUUACCUGAAACUCAGAAGAAGUAAUCCGACGGUUUAAUAUAGUUAUGCUCCG